rnacentral:rRNA from 1 species
GAUGAACGCUAGCUACAGGCUUAACACAUGCAAGUCGAGGGGCAGCAUGGUCUUAGCUUGCUAAGGCCGAUGGCGACCGGCGCACGGGUGAGUAACACGUAUCCAACCUGCCGUCUACUCUUGGACAGCCUUCUGAAAGGAAGAUUAAUACAAGAUGGCAUCAUGAGUCCGCAUGUUCACAUGAUUAAAGGUAUUCCGGUAGACGAUGGGGAUGCGUUCCAUUAGAUAGUAGGCGGGGUAACGGCCCACCUAGUCUUCGAUGGAUAGGGGUUCUGAGAGGAAGGUCCCCCACAUUGGAACUGAGACACGGUCCAAACUCCUACGGGAGGCAGCAGUGAGGAAUAUUAGUCAAUGGGCGAGAGCCUGAACCAGCCAAGUAGCGUGAAGGAUGACUGCCCUAUGGGUUGUAAACUUCUUUUAUAAAGGAAUAAAGUCGGGUAUGGAUACCCGUUUGCAUGUACUUUAUGAAUAAGGAUCGGCUAACUCCGUG